rnacentral:lncRNA from 1 species
ACCAGUUUCAGCUGCCCACAGGGAGUUACCUUCAACAUUCCAAAUUCCAGCAUCAAACUGAAUUUGCACUCUGUUCCCGCCACACCCACCAUCCUGGGGUCAGCACUGGCCUCUGGAGACCCCGCAUCUGGCCUUCAGGCCUGAGGCUGUGCUUCUGAAUCGUGAUUGGAGGAACAUCCUCUCUGAAAAUGUCAGCCUGAGAGAAAGAGGGAUGGAAAUUCAGAGAAUCUCCCCAGGACCAACCCCCAAGGGGAUGGAAAAGGAGAGGUGGAAAUUUAAGAGCAUGAUAAAGUAACUUGCAGUCAAACGACUAGGAAUUGGC